ACACCCACCAACGCCCGGGUAUUACGAGCUUUAGCUUAAAACCCAAAGGACUUGACGGUGUCCCAUCCACCUAGAGGAGCCUGUUCUAUAAUCGAUAAUCCCCGCUACACCUAACCACCCCUUGCCAAUCAGUCUGUAUACCUCCGUCGUAAACUUACCAUGUGAAUGCCCACAGUAAGUUUAAUGGCUAUCAACCACCAAUACGUCAGGUCAAGGUGCAGCUCAUGGGGCGGCAAGCAAUGGGCUACAAUUUCUACUCUAGAACAAACGAAACGCUACAUGAAAUAAAGCCACGAAGGCGGAUUUAGUAGUAAAAAGAAAAUAGCGCGUUCUUUUUAAUUAGGCCCUGGGACGUGUACACACCGCCCGUCACCC
rnacentral:rRNA from 1 species